rnacentral:rRNA from 1 species
AAUAGGCUAAUUAAGAGCGUAAGGGGAAUGCCUUGGCUCUCAGGGGCGAUGAAGGACGUGAUAAGCUGCGAUAAGCUGUGGGGAGUGGCACAAACACUUUGAUCCGCAGAUUUCCGAAUGGGGUAACCCGGCAUAUUGAAGAUAUGUCACACUGUAAAGUGAGCGAACCUGGUGAACUGAAACAUCUAAGUAACCAGAGGAAUAGAAAACAAAAGUGAUUCCGCUAGUAGUGGCGAGCGAACGUGGAACAGCCUAAACCUAUGUUGUUAAGGCAAUAUAGGGGUUGUAGGACCUCAACAUUUAAUGCCAAUAGAACUAGAAUUUACUGGAAAGUAAAACCAUA